rnacentral:rRNA from 1 species
AUGGUGCCAAGCUAUAUUCCUGUCCCAAGUCAUCCAAUAAAACAAUUUAUUGAUGAUCUGACCUUGAGUAUUGCAGAACAGCGGCUAGUCAUCUGUUGGGUGCAGUCCUCUCAUGAAUUUCUCGCUCAUGACGCCCAACCGAUGUUUUGGUUCAGUCAAAAAAAUGCCCAGCUAAAGCCACCAGGAUCAUAUUUUUUAUGCACUUGUCAGGCAGUACAGUUGCUCUACCAUUGGGUUCAUGAGCACGUCACUGAGUUGGCUAGUAGUUGUUACUUUGCAAAAUUUUGGCGCACUAGAGAUUCCCAUGAUUUAGUACAUCACUGGGUAGUUCCUAUAUGUGCCAGUAUACAAGCGGGUGGCAAUCUAUUCAAGUAUAAGUGGAGCGGACAAUAUGAAUGGAGACUGUUGAAGCCUAAUUUCCUGCAAGCUAGUUCUGGCCCCUGUUCUGAUGCAUAUUUCUAUGGGAACCAAUGCACGGUGGUCGUUGAAGUGUUGGUGUAUCUUGUUGGGCAGCUAAGUGACAUGUUUCAUAAGUUACCAGCUAUAUAUCUAUGGUAUAUGCUUUGGCCGAUGUGUUGGUCGCUCUUGGUGGUUCUCGACGGCCCAGGCCCAUGUGUUGGUCGCUCUUGGUGGGCUGGCUGCCUUGCCGUGGGUCGACGUGGCCGUGAUAGUAAUUGGGUCGCUGACAUCCCCUCCUCCUUGACAGCCGGCUUGCCCCCAAGCUGGUGCCCGUUCUUCACUGGUUCUGCAAAAUCCAAUCCUCCUGGAUCCCAUUGA